rnacentral:rRNA from 1 species
UAUGAUCUGUACGGGUUGUGAGAGCAAGAGCCCGGAGAUGGAACUGAGACAAGGUUCCAGGCCUACGGGGCGCAGCAGGCGCGAAACCUCCGCAAUGUGAGAAAUCGCGACGGGGGGAUCCCAAGUGCCAUUCUUAACGGGAUGGCUUUUCUUAAGUGUAAAAAGCUUUUGGAAUAAGAGCUGGGCAAGACCGGUGCCAGCCGCCGCGGUAACACCGGCAGCUCUAGUGGUAGCUGUUUUUAUUGGGCCUAAAGCGUUCGUAGCCGGUUUGAUAAGUCACUGGUGAAAUCCUGUAGCUUAACUGUGGGAAUUGCUGGUGAUACUGUUGAACUUGAGGUCGGGAGAGGUUAGCGGUACUCCCAGGGUAGAGGUGAAAUUCUGUAAUCCUGGGAGGACCACCUGUGGCGAAGGCGGCUAACUGGAACGAACCUGACGGUGAGGGACGAAAGCUAGGGGCGCGAACCGGAUUAGAUACCCGGGUAGUCCUAGCCGUAAACGAUGCGGACUUGGUGUUGGGAUGGCUUUGAGCCGCUCCGGUGCCGAAGGGAAGCUGUUAAGUCCGCCGCCUGGGAAGUACGGUCGCAAGACUGAAACUUAA